rnacentral:rRNA from 1 species
UACGUAGGGGGCAAGCGUUGUCCGGAUUUACUGGGCGUAAAGAGCGUGUAGGCGGCCAGGCAGGUCUGUUGUGAAAACUGGAGGCUCAACUUCCAGACGUCGACGGAAACCGCUUGGCUAGAGUCCGGAAGAGGAGAGUGGAAUUCCUGGUGUAGCGGUGAAAUGCGCAGAUAUCAGGAAGAACACCGAUGGCGAAGGCAGCUCUCUGGGACGGUACUGACGCUGAGACGCGAAAGCGUGGGGAGCGAACAGG